GAAAGAGCAGGUGUUCAUAAGGUUUUGUAUUUAGAGUAAAACCUUGUAUCUGUAUGUUAAUGAUACAUCUUAGUUUUACAGAUCGUAUAAUGUCUUGCACAAGAUCAACCGGCUAUAUACUCUAUGUAUGGACAAUAGAAAGCCAAGUAUUACAGGCCAUUUCUUUUGAGACGUUAGAGCUUUUUUUUGCUGUGAAUGUCUGAAGCUCUCACAACAGGAAAGAUAGGGGUCGGUCAGCACGGAGGACGCUCUCACAACAGGAAAGAGGACGCUCUCGCAACAGGAAAGGUGGGGGUCGGUCAGCACGGAGGACGCUCUCGCAACAGGAAAGGUGGGGGUCGGUCAGCACGGAGGACGCUCUCGCAACAGGAAAGGUGGGGGUCGGUCAGCACGGAGGACGCUCUCGCAACAGGAAAGGUGGGGGUCGGUCAGCACGGGGGAUGCUCCUAUAUCCACAUCAAAGCUUAUUCAGACGUCCAGCUGUCUCACUCUCUUAUCUUACUUUCGGAGAAUCAUACAUUUGCUCAACUUUUUUCCUCAGUGAAAAAUACUGUGAGGGAAGGAAACCCGAUGGCAAACAGCAUUUGUUAUCAAUACUGUAUCAUAGAGCUGUUUGACAGCUGUCAACCCAGGUGAUAUAUUGGCUGUCUGGACAUUGCUAGUCCAGCAGUCACUGAGGAGGUGACAUAAAUACCAGUGCGCUGGGUCAAAGGUCACAGGGAAUAGCGGGUCUGAGGGAGUCACAUGAAAGACUGUGUAUGACCGCAGCAGACACUUUAUUACCUCUAAAGAAUGAAUGAUGGCUCAAGCUGGGCCGGGGGUGACUG
rnacentral:lncRNA from 1 species